GGGGCCCGCACAAGCAGUGGAACAUGUGGUUCAAUUCGACGCUACGCGAAGAACCUCACCAGGGUUUGACAUAUAGGUAGUAGGAACCUGAAAGGGAGACGACUCGUUAAGCCGAGUGCCUAUACAGGUGUUGCAUGGCUGUCGUCAGCUCGUGCCGUGAGGUGUUGGGUUAAGUCCCGCAACGAGCGCAACCAUCAUCCUUAGUUGCUACCGAGGGAUCCGAAAGGGUCCUGGCGAGCACUCUAAGGAGACUGCCCGUGAUAGACGGGAGGAAGGUGGAGAUGACGUCAAGUCCGUAUGGCCCUUAUACCCUGGGCUACACACGUGUUACAAUGGGAUGUACAGAGCGUUGCCAAACCGCGAGGUGGAGCUAAUCGCAAAAAGCAUCCCCCAGUUCAGAUUGGAGUCUGCAACCCGACUCCAUGAAGUUGGAAUUGCUAGUAACGGCGGAUCAGCUACGCCGCCGUGAAUACGUUCCCGGGCCUU
rnacentral:rRNA from 1 species